rnacentral:rRNA from 1 species
AUUGAACGCUGGCGGCAGGCCUAACACAUGCAAGUCGAGCGGAUGAAGGGAGCUUGCUCUCUGAUUCAGCGGCGGACGGGUGAGUAAUGCCUAGGAAUCUGCCUGGUAGUGGGGGACAACGUUCCGAAAGGGACGCUAAUACCGCAUACGUCCUACGGGAGAAAGUGGGGGAUCUUCGGACCUCACGCUAUCAGAUGAGCCUAGGUCGGAUUAGCUAGUAGGUGGGGUAAUGGCUCACCUAGGCGACGAUCCGUAACUGGUCUGAGAGGAUGAUCAGUCACACUGGAACUGAGACACGGUCCAG